rnacentral:rRNA from 1 species
UACGGGGGGGGUAAGCGUUGUUCGGAAUUACUGGGCGUAAAGGGCUCGUAGGCGGCCAACUAAGUCAGACGUGAAAUCCCCAGGCUCAACCUGGGAACUGCGUCUGAUACUGGAUGGCUUGAAUCCGGGAGAGGGAUGCAGAAUUCCAGGUGUAGCGGUGAAAUGCGUAGAUAUCUGGAGGAACACCGGUGGCGAAGGCGGCAUCCUGGACCGGCAUUGACGCUGAGGCGCGAAAGCCAGGGGAGCAAACGGG